AUUAAAAGACUAACAAUAAAGAAAACUAACUAAAUAAUAAAAUUUAAUAAUGGAUGGGUGUUUGGUUUUGACUAGAAGUAAAUUAAACUUAAAUAAAUUACAGAAUUGACAAAAACAUAAAAUUAAGGUAAAAUGAUAAAUGACGGACUAGCUAGAGGGUUCUUCUCCACACAUGACACAUAAGCAACCUAAAUUGAUUUUCAGUUGUUCUUUCAAUAAAUUGUAAAUCUCAACGCCCCAAAUUAACCGUGAACAGCACUUUUUUAAUCUUCAAGUUUUCCUUAAGUUAUUGAAUUGGACGGGAAAACGCAUACAACAAUUCAAAACAUUCUUCAAAAAGUCCCCUACGUGAAAAGCACAAUAGAGAUACAAUCAAAGAUCAUUAAACUUUGUGAAAACUAUAAGCAUUGACGAGGCAUUCGUAACUAUGAAAAGCAUGAUACUCUUGCCAAGAAUUUACUUAACGUGAUUGUGACUAGCAACCUUUACUACUUGUGAAAAUAAGUUCAUAACGAUUAGGUGAAAUUCACUUAUAUUCUAGCAUCAAAUUCAUGCAUGUAAAUUAAGCGUGCACUCUCAACCAACAUACACAAAUCAGUUUUUAUACGAACGGAUAAGUAAAUUGAAAUCACAACUUAUGAAAUCACAACCGAAGGUAAUCAAUUCAUAUUACAAAUAUAUUCAUGGCUUUGAAUUAACCUCUAGCCAAAAUAAAUUUAAUUACACAUUAUUAAAACAAAAAUAAAAUAGAAGUUUGGAAAGAUUUAACCGAAAGAGGAGGAUUCUGCUUUUCUGUGCUCUGACCAACUCUUGCUGUGCUCUCUCUCCUCUCCAGCUGCCAAGACAGCAUUUCACGCCGCCAACUGGACGUCAACUCAUGCUCAAGCUGCCAAAAUGGCAGCUUUCUUUCUUAACCUCUUUCUUCAGUCACGCUGCCAAGGCAGCGUCUCUUCUCCCGCCUCUGUCUCUCUGACCUCGCUGCCAAAGGGCAGCGAUCUCCCUUCCUGCGUCUCUGCGAGCUUCUCUCCUUCCUGCGUCUCUGCGAGCUUCUCUCCUUCCUGCGUCUCUGCGAGCUGCCCAAAGGGCAGCCCCUUUCUCCCCCUAAUUCCUUUCCGCGUUCCUCCUCUUUUAUUCUUUUUAUCUGUCAGUGUUUCUCCCACUUGUCCCCUUUAUUUCUAUUUUUUUAUUUUCUUUUCAAACCACCCUCCACUGCUUCUUAUCCCGCACUCUUCUCUUUUUCUUUAUUUUCUUAUUCUAUUUCCUCCUUCCACCAGUCUGCCCGUGUCCUCCUCUUAUUCUUCUUUUAAUUUUUUUUAUUCCUUCUUUUCUUUUUUUAUUCCUUUCUUUUCUUCUUCUCCAUCCGUUCCUUUCUUUUCUUCUACAAAACAAAACCAUCAUGAUGAUGUUUCAAACAUCAUCAUGACUUAUCAUUAUUAUAUAUUUUUUUUAAUUUAAUUUAAAAGCUGAUCUACACAGACAGUUUGACGAAUUUAUUACAUAAAAUUUCACUUGUUCUAUUUUUAUUUUCUUUGCAUAACAAAUCCUAUAAACACAAAAAUAACGUAAAUAGCUCAAAAAUAUAAGGAACUAACCAAGAAAAGACGAGUGAAUUUGAAGUAAAAAUAUAUAUAAAUAUGAUCCGAUCAAAUACCCCCAUACUUAACUUUUGCUAGUCCUCGAGCAAAACAAAGAAAACAUGAAAAAGUAAUAACAUGAAAAACAUUAGCUUCCCUCUAUGUGACCCUCAUAGAAUUUCAUUCAAGAAAACAAAUCAUCAAGAACCAUAGCUAGCAUCAAGGAACUAAUCCAAGUUCAUCUUUCUUAUUCAAAUAUUAGCAGUAAUCUUUGAAUCAUCCUUGAAGUGUAGUGUGUGAGAUAGCCAUGCUAAUGCAAUUUCAAGAUUUUUUAUUUUUAAAAUCAUCAUAUGCAAACUAGUGACCUUCUCACGGGAUAUGCACUCAAUCACACAUGUGUUUAGUUUUAAUGUGUUUCGCUCAAAGAAACAAAUGUGAAAUUUCUACCAUAAGCUUGCAUAAAGAUCUCAUCUCCACAAUCAUAAUUGCAAAACUUAAAUCAAGAGGACUUUUAUUGGAUGUAAUGAGGUUUAGGGAGAGGGUUAUUGAAAUGAAAGAAUAGGAAAACACAAGUUCCAAGCUACAUUGCAAGCAAUUUUUUUCUUUAGAUUUAUAAGAACUCAAGCUCUCCAACAAUUCUUCUAGCACCUCCAACCACAACCUUAAACUGAAACUUGAAAAACUUUUUAUUUUCUUUGUAUACAAUCUUUCUUUUUCUUUUUUUUUUUUUUUUUUUUUUUUUUUUUUUUUUUUUUUUAAUACAAACAUGAAAUACCCCCACACUUAAUCUUUUGCUAAACAUCUUCACAGUACUUCACAAACGUUUCUCAUAAAACAAUCUCACAUUGCUCACUAGCUUGCUUGGAAAGGGUAAGGAAAAAUGUUUCAGGUAUAAGGGUAGACAUAUCUGGUGAUAAGAAAUAAAAGGCUCAACAAACACGGCUCAAAUUGGCAAACUAAUGAUAUCAUUUUUCUUUGGGAAACAUGGUUAUUUGGGCCAUAGUGGUAAACCUAAUGCCUCUAUCAUUUCCAAGUUCAAGCAAUCAAUGACAAACAUUUCGAAAGAUCGUUACGCAAGUUCUAGAGAUGUAUCUCACAUAAGUUCAUCACACAUAAAAGAAUAGGAGUGUAUGAAAAAUACACACACUUUCAAUAGGCUCAAAAACUCACAUAGGAUAUAUAUGGUCACUAAAUUCACAUAUGAAGCUUUAAUUCAUACUUUAGUUUCACAUCAACAAGGCUAUGUGCAUUUGGUUUUUCAAAGAUGAUCAAACAUGUACAAAACUAACAAGAGAAUUAGGAAUUUCACAAAACACAUGUUAACUAAGUUCUUGAUAAUCAUGAUUCAAAUUUGAUCCAAUUAUAUCAUUGGGUUGGGAAACUAAUAAAAAUCUAAUUCAAAACAAUAAGGGAAACAAGACAAUAUUUUUGGAUUUUUAAAUUUUCCGAAAUUUUUUUAAUUUAAAUUUUUUUUAAAAGAAAACAAAACUAAUUAAGAACACAAAAAACAACAACACAGUUUUUUUUAUUUUUAUUUUUAAAAGAAAACAAAACUAAUUAAGAACACAAAAAACAACAACACAGAGACAAAUGAAAUUCUGGAGAUUUCUACCCCCACACUUAAACUUGACAUUGUCCCCAAUGUCAGAAAACACUAUAAUGCAAAUAAAAAAAAUAAAAUAAAAUAAAUAAAUAAUAAGAAACAAAAUAACGCGAUUGGACUGAAAACUUCCCUAAUUUGCAGUAAAAUCAAGCGAUGACCCCCAAGCUAAAAUUCUGCAAUCAACUUCAAGGGUGGAAAUAACCAAAAGUUCCUGCAAAGAAAAAAAAUAAUUCAGUUAAGUACGCAAGAAAAUUAAUUAAAAAAAAAUUGCAAACGAAAAAUUGAAAAUUACGAUAAAAGAUAAUGAAUAAAACUAAUAAGUAAUCAUUGGUCGUGCUUGUUGACUUUCCACAGCUUUCCUCUUGAACAGGGUGACACUUAGCUUUUUACUUGCAAGUGAUGAUUUGAUGAUAUUGUACGGCGGAGCUUUGCUCUUUGGGAAUGUUGCAGUUCCUUAUUUGUUCUCCAAGCAGAUGUGGCAGCUUCUCUAGUUCUUCAUCUCAGACUCCUUCUGCUGGGAUGAUUGUGCAAGCUGCAUUCUUCUCUGCUUGUUUCCUCUGCAUGGCGGGCAGGCACGAGGGAGAGGUGUUGGUCUGUUUCUUUCUUCAAUCUUUCCAAGUGCCCACCUCUUGCUCUCUUUCUCCUUGUCCUUAGUUGAGGAUGAAUCAGCACGUUGUCUCCACAUGCUUCGAGGUAUCAUCUUCACUUCCCUUAUACGUAAGAGACGAAGAGGAAACACAAGAUGAUGAGUACUCGAGAGCAAGUGCUGGCUGGAGAAAGGACAGGGAGAAAGCAUGAUAUGAGAUACUCUUGCUUUCAACCUUCAUGAUAUGAAAUACUUUUGCUUUGAAUGGGUUGUUCGCAGGAGUAUCCCAAGGAAUGAGGAAUACAGAGUGACUUAGGAGGAUUCUUUGGGAAUGCAUUUUCGGAGAUGAAGAAGUGUUGAGAGGGUGUGCUGAGAGAGUGUGCUUUUGCUGUGGAAGGCGAAGGUAGAAACUUAUAGGGCUUUUCUUCACAACCGGAACUAUUCUCUCACUCAUUGUCGGCAGCCGGUGGAUGGAUGAAUAGUACACAUUACGCGCUUUCUGACAAAGCUGCCCGUAAUUUCCGCAAAGCAGAUUCCUCAUUGAUAUCUGGAAUCGGCGCUUCGAGCUCUGAGCAACGUCGAUUGUAGAGGUAGCAUGUGACACGUGCGGAUAAAUCUGGAAAAGAAGAUUUGCCCGUGGGUUGAAGCCCAGCUUUUGAGAAAGCUAGCGUGUCUUUGACUGUUGAAUUUCCCUCUUCGAUUUCUGAAUUGGUGCUUCGACAAACUGCCCGAGAAUUUCGCAAAGCAAUUUACGUGUGACAAGUGACGACACGUCUGGACAAAGUGAUCUUUCGAAAUCCGGGAUUCGGCUCGUGGUUUCUGAGCAAGCCCAACUUUUAAGAAAUUAAACGCCUCUUUUGAGAAAAGAAUCAGGCGUUUGAGAAACGAGCCCCGACUCUUCGAUUUGCGAGAGGACGCCUCUCUGAUGAGCGUCUCUCCGAUUUCUUCUUUUUAUAGAGGCGCUAAUUGUGUUCCACAACACACUUGAGCUCCCUCUUGUAAACACUCCCUUCUUGCAAUUUCCAAAAUCUUAAUCAGUCCGACUCUCUUCUUUCUUCACCACCUCUUAAAAAUGUCUGGCCCUUCUGAUCGUCGUUUUGACUUGAACAUUGGUGAAGAGGCAGCUCCGCCUUCACCAGACAAUAUAUGGCGGCCAACCUUCAUAUCCCCUACCGGUCCUCUUACCGUGGGGGAUUCGGUGAUAAAAAAUGACAUGACCGCUGCGGUGGUGGCCCGAAACCUUGUCACUCCCAGAGAUAACAGACUGCUCGCUAGACGGUCCGAUGAAUUGGCGGUUAAGGAGUCUCUGGCUCUUAGCGUGCAGUGUGCGGGUUCUGUAUCCAACAUGGCCCAACGCCUAUAUGCUCGAACCCGUCACGUUGAAUCGUUGGUGGCUGAAAUACAGAGUCUCAAAGAGGAGAUUAGAGGACUCAAGCAUGAAAAUAAACAAUUGCACAAGCUUGCACACAACUAUGCCACAACCAUGAAGAGGAAGAUUGACCAGAUGCAGGACACCGAUGGUCAAAUUUUACUUGAUCAUCGGAGGUUUGUGGGUUUGUUCCAACAACAUCUGCCUUCGUCUUCUGGAGCGGCACACCGCGUAGUGAAGCUCCAACUGAUCAACCUCUGCCGCCUCCUCCUUCUGUGGCCCCGCCGACUGCUGAAGCCCCGCCUACUACUGAAGCACCACCCGACCAAUGAAUACUAUUAGUUUACAUUAUUGUAAAAUAUUUGCAUUUUUUUUUUUUUUUUUUUUUUUUUUAAUGUGUAAAUUAAUGUAAAGAGACUUUGGUUAACCUUCCCCCACACUUAAACUAAAUAACACAAACUCACAGAAAUCAACCAAUUAACACAACUAACUAAACAAAACAAAAUGAAAGCAGUAAAGAUAAGGGUGGAAGAAUGCAAAGCUGAUUGGGUUAGUGAUUCCAAAGUCUCCCUUCGUUGAAUGCUUGGGUUGCCUCCCAAGAAGCGCUUGAUUUAACGUCUUUAGCCGGACGCAUCUUUCCUUUAAAUUUCCCUCGGCUCCAUUUGAACCUAAAAUCAAAGAAAGAAAAAUAAAUCAAAUAUCAAAAGUAAAAUACACAAACACCAAUAUAAACAUAAACAAAAACAAAAAUAAAGGGAUUAGCAAAGUUACUAAUCCCCGGCAACGGCGCCAAAAUUUGAUGUGAGAAUUUCUUGACACACAAAUUAAACCCUCUUUUUGACAAUUGUAGUAUAGAUGUAAGUAGGGUAUCGUUCUAGGCCGGGGAUUAGGAGGGAUUGCUAAUCUAUUCUAAAUUAAUUUAAAAAAUAUUAAACAAGACUCAAUGAUACAAAACUAGGCUAAAAACUCUAAUAACUCGAAACACACUUAGGAUGACUCAAAAUAAUGAAAAUGAUCUGAUUAAACACUAAGAACUGAAAUGGACGGAAAUUGAAUUAAAAGACUAACAAUAAAGAAAACUAACUAAAUAAUAAAAUUUAAUAAUGGAUGGGUGUUUGGUUUUGACUAGAAGUAAAUUAAACUUAAAUAAAUUACAGAAUUGACAAAAACAUAAAAUUAAGGUAAAAUGAUAAAUGACGGACUAGCUAGAGGGUUCUUCUCCACACAUGACACAUAAGCAACCUAAAUUGAUUUUCAGUUGUUCUUUCAAUAAAUUGUAAAUCUCAACGCCCCAAAUUAACCGUGAACAGCACUUUUUUAAUCUUCAAGUUUUCCUUAAGUUAUUGAAUUGGACGGGAAAACGCAUACAACAAUUCAAA
rnacentral:lncRNA from 1 species